rnacentral:rRNA from 1 species
AGUGAACGCUGGCGGUAGGCCUAACACAUGCAAGUCUAACGGCAGCACAGUAAGAGCUUGCUCUUACGGGUGGCGAGUGGCGGACGGGUGAGGAAUACAUCGGAAUCUACUUUUUCGUGGGGGAUAACGUAGGGAAACUUACGCUAAUACCGCAUACGACCUACGGGUGAAAGCAGGGGAUCUUCGGACCUUGCGCGAUUGAAUGAGCCGAUGUCGGAUUAGCUAGUUGGCGGGGUAAAGGCCCACCAAGGCGACGAUCCGUAGCUGGUCUGAGAGGAUGAUCAGCCACACUGGAACCGAGACACGGUCCAGACUCCUACGGGAGGCAGCAGUGGGGAAUAUUGGACAAUGGGCGCAAGCCUGAUCCAGCCAUACCGCGUGGGUGAAGAAGGCCUUCGGGUUGUAAAGCCCUUUUGUUGGGAAAGAAAAGCAGCAGGUUAAUACCCCGCUGUUCUGACGGUACCCAAAGAAUAAGCACCGGCUAACUUCGUG